GCGCCUAUAGCUCAGUCGGUAGAGCAACAGCCUUUUAAGCUGAUGGUCCCAGGUUCGAGUCCUGGUGGGCGCACAA
rnacentral:tRNA from 1 species